rnacentral:misc_RNA from 1 species
AACGCAUAUUGCGCCCUUUGGCAUUCCGAAGGGCAUGCCUGUUCGAGCGUCAUUAUCAACCAUCAAGCAUGGCUUGUCGUUGGACUCUUGUUGCUGUAACACGCGACAAGUCCGAAAGAUAAUGACGGGUGUCGUGUUAGACCCUCGAUGCAACGAGCUCUUUGUAGCACGCAUCGAACGUGGUCUACCGCCCCGGUCUACACCUCUAUUUUCUUCAGGUUGACCUCGGAUCAGGUAGGAAUACCCGCUGAACUUAA